rnacentral:rRNA from 1 species
AGCGAACGUUAGCGGCGCGCUUAACACAUGCAAGUCGCACGAGAAAGGGCUUCGGCCCCGGUAAAGUGGCGCACGGGUGCGUAACACGUAGGCAAUCUUCCCUUGAGCGGGGGAUAACGUUUCGAAAGAGACGCUAAUACCGCAUAAGACCACGACCGGUUCGCCGGUUGCGGUCAAAGCUGGCCUCUUCUUGAAAGCUAGCACUUAAGGACGAGCCUGCGGCCCAUCAUGCUAGUUGGAGUGUAAUGGACUACCAAGGCGAAGACGGGUAGCUGGUCUGGGAGGAUGACCAGCCACACUGGAACUGAAACACGGUCCAGACUCCUGCGGGAGGCAGCAGUGGGAAUAUUGGACAAUGGGCGAAAGCCUGAUCCAGCGACGCCGCGUGAGUGAUGAAGGCC